CUACUUUGCAUGGUCAGGAUACUAUGGCCAUUUCACGAAUGUCUCUGGGCAGUCAGGGCCUCUAAAACUAGAAAUGCUAGAGGUGAUUUUACUGGUAAACAGAUGGGGUUUGUGUUUGCUGAGUUCCUUUUACUUCUUUUCAUCUUUCCUUAAUGGCCUAUCUGUGUUGCAUCAACAAUUGGUUUGAUAUUGACUUUACAGUUAGGUUAUUUUUAUCUUAUGGUUAACUAUCCAUGGUUAUCCGCCCUGAUAGAGCUUAGGCAAGUACAAAUAUUUCUUGUUGCACAUACUAGCAUUAUUGUUUCUAUUGUGAAAUACACCCAGUGUUAACUUAGGUUUUGGUUGUCUAUUUUUGGUUUUCAGAUCUUAAGAUCAUAUACCAGUGCCUGAGAUCUACUAUGAAUGCUCAUGGCCAUAUCUCUAACAGCCGCCUACAGUGUGUGAAUCAUAUAUUUUGACCUUCAAGAACAGCCUUGAUACCCCUACAUCGGCAAUACAGGGGUCUGAUGCUUGCAGCCCUUCUGUGCCCCUUCAUUGGCCUUGGAUAUAUGUCACGCUUGUGUCCCUUCCUGGGCUAUGUAGGGGAGAGCCACCUGUGCCCCUUCAUGGUCUAUGUAGGGUUGUGGUGACAGCACCCCUUCAUGGCCACUACAGUGUUUGUACUGUCAUGGUUUCCAGGACCCACCUGGGGUCUCCGGACAUAUCCCCAUGGAUGGCGGGGAGCUUCUGUAGUCAUGUUCCUCUGCAUUACACCCCCCCACAAGACUCUCCUCUCUAGAUAAAUAUUACAGGAUCAGGAACCACUUUUCUUUGCAGUUUCUUCUUGGUGGAAACAUCUUGUCUUUGCUUAGCAUGGCUGCUUUGGCCUCUCCACCAUCUCCUGGAGGUUCCCUUACCUUUGCACUGCUCUUCACUCACUGCUUUUGGGUGUGCUGUCUGCCUCUGUCGCAGUCCUGUACCAGUGGUAAUUUGUACCAUGAGUGGCCACAGGAAACCGGUUGGAACUGGAACUCUGGGACUGGACUGCUCUUCCAGUAGAAGACAUACAAGUAGCUUCCUUGACGGCAGAAGUGGAUACUGGACAUUGGUGGCUUGCAUCUUCCCUCUACCUCUAUACUCCAAGUUCCUGGCUGGCACUGGAAUUACAUCCUUAGCAUGGGCAUCACAACAUCUAGGUGAGUCUAUGCAAGUCAGAAUCAACCUCCAUCAACCUCCAUCCCUUAUGAGACCUAAGACGUGAGGCAGCUCCAAUGGGAAAUAUCAGUUGUGUCUCUACCAAGGAUGCAGAAAAAGACAAGAUUCAGGCUUGUUUCCGGGAAGAAACCCUGACAGAAAUUCAGAAGAACGGGAGCUGCAUUCCAUUAGGACUUGAAUACACGAAAUUUUUGUCUCAGGACCUUCUAGAAGAAUGAGCUGGGACCCACUUUCCGAGUCCUGCUGGAACCAGAGACCAAGGCUUGCAUCUUCCCUCUACCUCUAUACUCCAAGUUCCUGGCUGGCACUGGAAUUACGUCCUUAGCAUGCACAUCAUAACCUCCAGAUGAGGUAAGUAUGAUUACUCUUGUUUUGAAAAUCUAUAAUCUGUAGCUCAAAAGAGAGUAGGUCAUGUUUCUGAGAUCACAGUACUAGUAAGUGCUGUUUUUUUGACAAUUCCUUCUCAUGGGCUCCAAAGCCCACUUUCUUUCAUCUACCACACUGUCCCCAAGAUGAACGGGGAAAAGCCUUACUUCAGCCUGAUAUAUUAAAAGCAACGUUACCUGUAAAGCUGGUGUCACAUUUCAGGAAAUGGGAUUAAGUUUAGAAUCUGAGUAAUUAUACCCACAGGUUGAAUUUGAAUUUGACAUCCUUUUAUUUUUUACUGCUGCAAUUUCUGUUAUCCUUAAUGAUUAUCUAAACGUAUUCUUCCCUUCGUA